CCUACGGGAGGCUGCAGUCGGGAAUAUUGCGCAAUGGAGGAAACUCUGACGCAGUGACGCCGCGUAUAGGAAGAAGGUUUUCGGAUUGUAAACUAUUGUCGUUAGGGAAGAUAAAAGACUGUACCUAUGGAGGAAGCCCCGGCUAACUACGUGCCAGCAGCCGCGGUAAUACGUAGGGAGCGAGCGUUGUCCGGAAUUACUGGGCGUAAAGGGCGCGUAGGCGGGAACUUAAGUUAGAGGUGAAAACUCCGGGCUUAACCUGGAGACUACAUUUAAAACUGGGUUUCUUGAGGGCAGGAGAGGAAAGUGGAAUUCCUAGUGUAGCGGUGAAAUGCGUAGAUAUUAGGAGGAACACCAGUAGCGAAGGCGACUUUCUGGACUGUACCUGACGCUGAGGCGCGAAAGCAUGGGGAGCGAACAGGAUUAGAUACCCGUGUAGUC
rnacentral:rRNA from 1 species